rnacentral:rRNA from 1 species
UACACUCCUACGGGAGGCAGCAGUGGGGAAUUUUGGACAAUGGGCGAAAGCCUGAUCCAGCAAUGCCGCGUGAGUGAAGAAGGCCUUCGGGUUGUAAAGCUCUUUUGUCAGGGAAGAAACGGUGAAAGCUAAUAUCUUUUGCUAAUGACGGUACCUGAAGAAUAAGCACCGGCUAACUACGUGCCAGCAGCCGCGGUAAUACGUAGGGUGCAAGCGUUAAUCGGAAUUACUGGGCGUAAAGCGUGCGCAGGCGGUUUUGUAAGUCUGAUGUGAAAUCCCCGGGCUCAACCUGGGAAUUGCAUUGGAGACUGCAAGGCUAGAAUCUGGCAGAGGGGGGUAGAAUUCCACGUGUAGCAGUGAAAUGCGUAGAUAUGUGGAGGAACACCGAUGGCGAAGGCAGCCCCCUGGGUCAAGAUUGACGCUCAUGCACGAAAGCGUGGGGAGCAAACAGGAUUAGAAACCCUGGUAGUCCC